GAGAGCGUGAGGGAGAGGGGGGUGAGGACAGACGGAGAGGCUUCAUCCUCAGCCUCCAGGAGGACCUCAGGGGGCUGUUGGAGAAUGAGGAGCAGGGGCUGGAGGAGCAGAGGGGGCUGUUGGAACAGCUGCAGGAUGCGCAGCAGAAUGGCCACUUCCUGUCGUGUAAGGUGGAGGAAAUGAGGACGGUGGUCCACAGGCUCAAGCUGAAUGAGAGCUCCAUGAUGGAGGAGGUGGAGGAACUGCAAGAGGAGAACCAGAGACUGUAAGAGGCUCAGCCACACCCUGAGACAGAUCAACCACAGCCCGGACUCUACUGACCCCCGUCUCUACCCCCAGCCCUAGCUCUGGUGCCAGCCCAGGGACUCCAGCCCCAGCCUGGCUACCGCCCUGCCAAACACCCCUGCCAUGGCUCAACCAGUCCCCUGCCACAUGGACAACACUGACCCGGUGAGUGAUGACAUUGAAGCUAAUGUGGAGUUGACUCUUAAUCAGUAGUAGAUCUUAAGUCUAAAUUGUUGAAGAGUUCGGCCUCAAGAAUGUAAAUGAGUACAAUUACAAGCAAAUUGUACAAUGGAUUAUAAUGUGGGAUUGUCAUGGGUUUAGCUGCACAGUGGAAUGUUGAUCUGAUUAACUACAGAGGAACUAAAGAGUGUGGCUGGCUUGUGUGUUUGAGACUGGGAGCCUAGGGGACUGGUGUCUUGGUCCUAGGGGCUUCCCCUCUCUCAACCUGAGAGAGGAGACUGAAGCACUGAGAGAGGCUUACUGGAGCAUGGGGGCGACGUGGACUCACUCCGGGACCACAGCUGGAGAGCACGCUCUGACACACACAGGACCAGCUGCACAGGGUGACCGAGGAGAACGCCCGUCUGAAAUGUAAACUCAGGGAGAAAUGGGGGGCCUGUGAGGCGGAGUGGGGGUGCUAGCUAGGAGGGAAAAGCAUGACAGGAAAUGCCCAGGAAAACAGGGUGCCAAUUCAUAACCUAAUUCCCCAGGUUAGCAGAAAGCUUACCACAACUCCAACCCAGAAUAAUACUACCCUAGUCUUAGCCGAUAAUGACCUAACCCUGUAUGCCUUAGCCCUGGAUGACCUAGCUCUAGCUUUGAACCAGGAGAACCAAGGCAUAGGGCAGGCGUAUCAAGGAGCUCCUGCACCACAUAGAGAGCCGGGAUAGUAAGGUUAGUGAGAGGAAGCUAGAGAGGGAGAGCUGGAGCAGGAGAACCAGGAGCAGGGAGGUCUUAUAACCGAGCUAACCAGGAAGACCAAGGAGGACCUCAACACUAUCAUGGAGCUGCAGCAGAGACUGACUGAGAGCGGUCAGCUUGGUCUACAACAGGGUGACCAUGGUUUGACCACUGAGUCAGAGUGUGGUCAAAAGGGUGAGCAUGCGGUCGGGUCAGUGUUCGCUCAACAGGGUCAACCCCCGGUAGGGUUCGUGACCAGUCUACAAGGUGAUCACACGCCAGGGUCGGUGAAUAGUGGUGAACUACAGGUUGACCACACGACCGAGUCAGUUAGGGAUCAAAAGGACAGCCAUUUGACCACAGAGUUAGUAUCCAUGCUGAGAGAGGAGAGGGGCGAGCUAAUUGGGUCUCAGUGAUCUCAAAGGGGAAAGGGAACAGGUUUCCCCUCUCACUCAGGUGUCAGACAGGGAAACACCAGCUAACGCGCUCCGUGUGGGUCCUGGAAGAAGAACGCGACCGGGUCAAUCAGGAACUCUGCGGUUUAAAAGAAGAGCAAGUACAGUUUACCAGGUCUGAAAGAUAAGAGACAAGGUGGUAUGGUCAAUGUGUGGUUUAAAAGAGGAGAGUGACCAGCUAGUUCCGUCAAGGUCUGGACUCCAGGAGGAGAGAGACCAGCUAGUUCAGUCAAUGUCUGUUUUCUACAAGGAGAGAGAACAGCUAGUUCAGUCCAAUGUCUGGUUUCCAGGAGGAGAGAGAUGAGCUCUCGCAGUCUCUCUUCAGUCAAGAAGAUGAGAGACCAACCUAACGAGUCACUCCACAAUCUAGAAGAGGAGCGAGACCAGUUGAUGCAAUCCAUGUGGGGUUUAAAGGGACAGAGAGACUAGCUAACACAGACACUCAGCCUUCUGGAGCAGAAGAGAGACAAACUGCCUUCAAACAGAAGACAGAGACCCGGUCAACCCGUUUAAAGAAGAGCGAGAGCAGUUGGUUCAGUUAAUGGUUGUUCUGUGCGAACAAAGAGAGCAUCUCACAACGGAGAGAGAGACCAGUUGCAGAUGGACGUUGCUCCUUUACGGAAUCAGCUACUGUCACAGGGGCGGAGUCACGACCAGCGGGUACUCUGAGAACCACGUUGGCGUGGCAACACACAUAGAGGGUGUGGCUACAGAGAGCGGGGUCACUGCGCCAAAAUACGGACGAUGACGUCGUUCAGAGAAGUCUGGCCACGGUCUACUCCUACAAGACCAUCCGCCUGGGGCAGUCUGCACAGGGAACACUUGGAAGAGGUGACAGUGGAACAGAGUGAACUGAUGGAGGAGAUCAAGUCGUUGGGGUCAGAACACAGAAGGUCACGAGACGAACUGGAGAAGAACCAAUCGGAGGAUCUCCCUUCCAAGACCAGACACCAGGUUUACUCCAGUCCCCCACCAGGUCAGGGAAACUAUCCAGGUUACCCCAAACCUUGCUGCCCUCAACCGACCCAAGCAUACCCCCAUAACAGCUACCCCUUCUACUACUACUACUACUGCCCCCGCUCGGACUGUUAAAGCACGAAGUACCACUACCUCGUUGAAAACUGCCCCUCCAACAAUUACCCUUAAAACUACAGCCCUCACUAAAGCUGCCCCCUCCACCUCUGCUCUGCCACCCACUGAGAGGACGUGACUGCCUGAUGAGGACCAUUGUGUCAAGAAGCUCCUCUCCAACUGCCAACCUGAACAAGCUAAAGCAACCAAACCCAGAGCUAAGCCGGAACCUCCAGCUGAGGUGGGCUCUGUUGAGGUCAUCAGGAUGGUGGGACAGAGCAGCCUCAUGAUUGGCUGGAUGAGCUGGGCUGCAGCAACGGAACCUUUAUGUAUGGAUACUGCCUCUCACCUGGGAUACAGUAGAAUGUAAAUAAAUGGGUUUUGGUGUUGUCCAUUCUAUACAGUCCAAUGUCUCCGUAUGCUGUGCUCAUCUCGCGCUCUCUCUUUCUGUCUUUCUCUCUCUUUGUCUUUCUCUCACCCUCUCUUCCUCCCCAUUUUCUCUCCCCCUCCUCUCUCUCUCUCUCUCUUUCUGUCUUUCUCUCUCUUUGUCUUUCUCUCACCCUCUCUUCCUCCCCAUUUUCUCUACCCCUCCUCUCUCUCUCUCUCUCUCUCUUUCUGUCUUUCUCUCUCUUUGUCUUUCUCUCACCCUCUCUUCCUCCCCAUUUUCUCUACCCCCCCCCUCUCUCUCUCCUCUCUUUGUCUUUCUCUCUCUUUGUCUUUCUCUCACCCUCUCUUCCUCCCCAUUUUCUCUGUCUUUCUCUCUCUUUGUCUUUCUCUCACCCUCUCUUCCUCCUAAUUUUUUCUCUCGCUCUCGCUCUCUCUCGCUCUAUAUAUACUGGACUCCGCCCACACACCGAAACAGUGGCUCCACCCAACCAGUGAGUUCUACAGACAUGCAUGUGUACUUAAUGUUUUGUACACUCAGUUUACCACCCUGGUGAGAGCAGAGGUCGGACUAGCUGGCCAAUCAGAGGCUAGAAGCAGUGCAUGCACAAGGGUGAGGAUGCAUGCCUAUCACCCGAUUGGCCAGGGCCGCAGCCUGGUGACCUCUCACAUGAGUGGGGAUAAAAGGUGAGAAUGGGUUAGAACGGGUGAGACCAAGCAACAGGUAAUCAAGUUGCAAUGUCUGUGACGUCUAGGAGGAGUAAUUCUGUACAGCAACCCUACCCUGACCCAACCAUUUCAUCUUUCAAUGUUUUACUGCAGAUUUUCAGCCGCACUGUCCAGUUGAAACCUUACUCACCAGAUUCAGAAGCUCAUCCUAAGCUUCUGUAUUAAUAUGUGUGUGUGUGUGUGUUUGUGUUUGCUUGCUUGUGACCUGUGUGUUCUCUCUGUGUAUGCAUAUGUGCAUGAUUGGCGUGCAGCUACAGUCCUCUGGUGGACAGCCCUAACCUCCACCCUAGGAGAGCUGGCCCAGAGAGGGGGAGAUACUGUCACGUUGCUAGGCAACCCCCGCAACGACGGCUUCUGUGAGGCCGAGGUAACCAUGUUUGACAGAGGAAGAACGAUGAUUCCAAGCACCACCCCCCUUUUUGAAGCUUCCAGUCUGUUAUUCAAACUCAAUCGGUGAAUGGCAGACUAGGUCUGGCUCCUGUUGCCUUCCUAGAGGAAGUUCUUGAUCCAGACAGACAUGUAAGCCCCGAAGCAACAGAUGAUAGACCACUGUGACGGCCAAUCAGAGAGAGCGCAAGAUGAUAGGUCACUGUGACUGCCAAUCAGAGAGAGGACAAGAUGAUGAGCCACUGUGACUGCCAAUCAAAUGAUGCUUCCCUACAGAGAGAUUAUAGUGGCCAACAUUCAUGACGUCAUCAAACGCUGCCUGCCUGUGACAAAAACAUUCAUAAGUGCUCACAGCCUAAAGUCGUUUGAAAUGGAAAGCUACACUAAAGCACUAGCUGAAAUGUGGGUGUGUUUGUGUGUAUGGCCCAGUUUGACAUUGUGCUUCUCCAAACGGAUGCUUUUAACCUACAUCCUGCUCAUUGAGAUCGUGUCAAAUCACCUCUGUUCUUCAAAAUCCCACGCUUUUCUGUGUCUAAUCUCUCGUGGACAGACACACUUAACUGGUAUCCUAGUGUCUGUCAGCAGACUGUGGGAUGCGACGACUAACGAGGAACUUUGUUUCCGGUGCACAGAUUUUUCGUCGCUGAUUAUUUUGGACAAAUCACGAUUUUUCCGCCUUCCUUUUUCGGGAAGAGGAGGGGACAGUUGGACCAUGGACUUGCCUGUAAAUUGCAACUGGAGAGGAGUUAACGGCCUGCGGCCCCUCCGCGUUCUAGUGUUUUUCUAACACAUCUGCCCGCAGAACGUAAUCAAGCAUCUGACACAAUUACACAAGAUUUUAGUUUUGGGUUUCCGAGAUUAUUCUGUAUGUGACAAGUGUCAAAAACGAAGGUGGGCCUGAAUGAUGUGACAACUUGUCUAACAAUCUGUCCGAAAGCCUCUCUAACAUGUUGGUGAUAUCAAGUGAUAAUUUUUUACGUGAUGAUAAAACGAAGUCGUUUUCACAAGGCCAUUUUACUUGAUCUUUAGGCAUCGAGCCAAAUAUGAAAACAAAGCUCCAUCCCAAAGACUUUGAUAUUUCUGUUCCUCGUCGUGACGUUUACAGAAAAUGUUUUUUUUUUUUUUGAUCCAAGUUAAAUCAUGAAGUCAAUUGUCUGAGCUGUUCUUCCACUGUAGAAUCGACUCAAUCUAUGAAGUCAUGCCAUUCAGAUGGAUGGAUGUUUGUGACUGAUAUAUUUUGUAGAGAUGAUUAAAUAACCUGAGGUAUGCAAAGGCUGAGUACUUUAUGUGUGGCUUUCAUCUCCUCAUUCUCUGUCUACAGGCCUAACUGACGUGUAGCUUUUACAUUCUGACCUGAUUCUCCAAAGGCUUCUCAAAUGAAACGGAGAAAAUACACACAUUCUGUUUACUGCAUACUUGUCUUUAACUGAUUAUGAUGUACGGUUGGGGGAAUGGCCAUGCUGCC
ensembl:lncRNA